GUGACAGUUGUCUGUUAUGUGUUCCUGGCUGGCUUGGUACUCAUGUGUAGCCCAAGCUAGCCUCUAACUCAUGGCAGUCAUCCUGUCUCAGUCUC
rnacentral:miRNA from 1 species